GACGAACGCUGGCGGCGUGCUUAACACAUGCAAGUCGAACGGUGAAGCGCCUUCCUUUUUGGUGGGUGUGGAUGAGUGGCGAACGGGUGAGUAACACGUGAGUAACCUGCCCCCUUCUUCUGGAUAACCGCAUGAAAGUGUGGCUAAUACGGGAUAUUCUGGGUCUGUCGCAUGAUGGGUCUGGGAAAGAUAUUGUUUCGGUGGGGGAUGGGCUCGCGGCCUAUCAGCUUGUUGGUGGGGUGAUGGCCCACCAAGGCGGUGACGGGUAGCCGGCCUGAGAGGGUGGACGGUCACACUGGGACUGAGACACGGCCCAGACUCCUACGGGAGGCAGCAGUGGGGAAUAUUGCACAAUGGGCGCAAGCCUGAUGCAGCGACGCCGCGUGAGGGAUGGAGGCCUGCGGGUUGUGAACCUCUUUCGCCAGUGAAGCAGGCCUGCCUCGUUUGUGGGUGGGUUGACGGUAGCUGGAGAAGAAGCGCCGGCUAACUACGUG
rnacentral:rRNA from 1 species